rnacentral:misc_RNA from 1 species
CCUCGCUUUAAAUAUAUCAGCACUUUUGGAUGGUUUAGAAUUAGUUCAAAAAGACGUACUUGAUGUUGUAUUUAUAUUUCAUUGAGGCAGUCUUUGGUCUUUAUGACUAUCCGCUAAUACGAAAACUUGAAGAAUAGCUCCUAACCCUAUUAAAUUACCCUUUAGACUUCAAAUCAGGUGGGACUACCCGCUGAACUUAA